AUUGAACGCUGGCGGCAUGCUUUACACAUGCAAGUCGAACGGUAACAGGUCUUCGGAUGCUGACGAGUGGCGACCGGGUGAGUAAUACAUCGGAACGUGCCUAGUAGUGGGGGAUAACUACUCGAAAGAGUAGCUAAUACCGCAUGAGAUCUACGGAUGAAAGACGGAGACCUUCGGGCUUUGAGCUACUAGAGCGGCGGAUGGCAGAUUAGGUGGUUGGUGGGGUAAAGGCUUACCAAGCCUGGGAUCUGAAGCUGGUCUGAGAGGACGACCAGCCACACUGGGACUGAGACACGGCCCAGACUCCUACGGGAGGCAGCAUUGGGGAAUUUUGGACAAUGGGCGAAAGCCUGAUCCAGCAAUGCCGCGGGCAGGAUGAAGGCCCUCGGUUUGUAAACUGCUUUUGUACGGAACGAAAAGCCUGGGGCUAAUAUCCCCGGGUCAUGACGGUACCGUAAGAAUAAGCACCGGCUAACUACGUG
rnacentral:rRNA from 1 species